rnacentral:rRNA from 1 species
GAUGAACGCUGGCGGCGUGCCUAAUACGUGCAAGUCGAGCGAACAGACGAGGAGCUUGCUCCUCUGGCGUUAGCGGCGGACGGGUGAGUAACACGUGGAUAACCUACCUAUAAGACUGGGAUAACUUCGGGAAACCGGAGCUAAUACCGGAUAAUAUAUUGGACCGCAUGGUUCAAUAGUGAAAGACGGUUUUGCUGUCACUUAUAGAUGGAUCCGCGCCGCAUUAGCUAGUUGGUAAGGUAACGGCUUACCAAGGCAACGAUGCGUAGCCGACCUGAGAGGGUGAUCGGCCACACUGGAACUGAGACACGGUCCAGACUCCUACGGGAGGCAGCAGUAGGGAAUCUUCCGCAAUGGGCGAAAGCCUGACGGAGCAACACCGCGUGAGUGAUGAAGGUCUUCGGAUCGUAAAACUCUGUUAUUAGGGAAGAACAAAUGUGUAAGUAACUAUGCACGUCUUGACGGUACCUAAUCAGAAAGCCACGGCUAACUACGUG